rnacentral:rRNA from 1 species
GAUGAACGCUAGCGGCAGGCUUAACACAUGCAAGUCGAGGGGUAUUGGUUUUCGGACCAAGAGACCGGCGCACGGGUGCGCAACGCGUAUGCAAUCUACCUUUUGCAGAGGGAUAGCCCCAGAGAAAUUUGGAUUAAUACCUCAUAGUAUAGUACUUUGGCAUCAAGGAACUAUUAAAGUCACAACGGCAAAAGAUGAGCAUGCGUCCCAUUAGCUAGUUGGUAAGGUAACGGCUUACCAAGGCUACGAUGGGUAGGGGUCCUGAGAGGGAGAUCCCCCACACUGGUACUGAGACACGGACCAGACUCCUACGGAGGCAGCAGUGAGGAAUAUUGGACAAUGGGCGCAAGCCUGAUCCAGCCAUGCCGCGUGCAGGAUGACGGUCCUAUGGAUUGUAAACUGCUUUUAUACAGGAAGAAACACUCCGACGUGUCGGAGCUUGACGGUACUGUAAGAAUAAGGAUCGGCUAACUCCGUGCCAGCAGCCG